UCGGCCAGCACAAGUGAAAGUUGUGUUUAAGAUUAUUUUUAUUUCACUAUUUUUUUUUAUUAAAUUGAUUUAAAGUUUAGAAUUUGAACUGGCCAAAUCUAAAGUGAUGUACGAAAAAGUAGCAAUAUUUUGCCGUGUUCUACAAUUGUUACUGAUAUGUGAAAGUGAUAAAAAGCAGACGCCGGGACAUGAUAAAAUUUUAAUUGUGAUGUCUCUGAGUGAGUCGAUAACGUCGACGGAUGGCAUAAGAGCUGCUCGGCCCAAAAUAAUUGACUUUAAAAUACAAAGAGAUCCUGGUUUAUUGAAAUACAACUCCUAUUUAUUUGCUAAAGAACCCGAAACUACUACAGAGAAAAGAGUAGUAUCUUUACUAGGUCGGAAAGUUAAAAGUAGAGAUGCAUAUUUUGAUAUGUAUCCAACGAAAAAAUUUCUAAGUCUACCUUACGACUCUACAAAGAAAGUGGUAAGAGAAAUACAUCUAAGACGUACCAGUAAUCGACGUGCUAUCGUACAAUUUAAAGGAUACACAUCUGUGCCACAAAGCGAGAAAUUUAUUAUAAGAAGAAAUGCUUGCCAUCACAACGAAAUGUUAAAACAACGUAACUUAGUCCGGAAUUAUAUUAAAAAUAAUAAUUUCAAUGAAGAUGUUGAAAUAAAUACUGACGUAUCACCAAUAGAUACAUCUGCUGAAAUUAAAUUAUUCCCACCUAAAAAUAGAAAACAUAUAAAUAAACAGAAUUACUACGGUCACAAAACAAAUCUUAUAGACAGACCGAUAUAUUUUAAACCGGGUCCCCGCGGAAAUAAUUCCACUGAAACAGAAGACCAGAAAGAAUUUAUUUUUGUUAAAAUUCCUCGUAUCGAUUAUGAAAAUGUUGAUGACAAAAAAAGUAAGAAAACUAUAAAAAAGAGUAUCUUUAAACACUACAGACUAUUUAAAAGGCGUAUCUAAACACCACUAGGAGAAACAGACGCUGCAAAGAUGACUACGCUUGUGGUCUGUUCGAGAUGUUAUCGAAGAAGAGCAUCAAGCAACAACCGCAGCAAACUUCAAACCGCCUGUCUUCGACUCUGAACAAACGUGUAGUCUAGUUUUCAAUAAUAUUAACACCUAACAAAAUAUAUCAGAUAACUUGCUCAAU